rnacentral:lncRNA from 1 species
AUUUCUCCAAAUUAUCUGGAUGUCCAUUACUAAUGGAUUAACAACAAUUUAAUGAAGUUUUGCGAAUUCAUGGAAGAGAAGAAUACACAACUAUUAAAAUGAGAUAAAAAUACCUAGAUGGAAUUAUAAAUAAAAACAGCAGUCUUGGAGUUUCCAUCAUGGCUCAGCAGAAACGACUCUGACUAGCAUCCAUGAGGAUGCAGGUUUGAUCCCUGGCCUCACUAAGGAUAUGGCGUUGCUGUGAGCUGGGGUUUUGAACUGUGGUGUAGGUCACAGACACGACUUGGAUCCCACGUUGCUGUGGCAGUGGUGUAGGCCAACAGCUACAACUCCGAAUCGACUCCUAGCCUGAGAACCUCCAUACGCCAUGGGUGCGGCCCUAAAAAGACCAAAAAACAAAAGCAAAAAAAAAGCAAUCCUCAAAAUAUAUUCAGUCUUCAUAGUAUAUUAAGUAAAAGGAAAAAAUGUCAAGAAAGUAUAUUGAACAUGCCAUGACUUUCGGUUAAAAUGGCAGAUUAAUACGCGAGCGUGUAUGUUUGUACAUGUUUAACUGAACUAGUGGUUAACUCAAUGACAAGAAUGCUGAAGGGAAGUAGAAAUCGGGAAUUAGGGAUCAAGAAUCAUCUCACUUUUCACUGGAUUUAUUUCCCAUGCCACUCUCAGUAUUUGCUGCCUAGUUUACAAUUCAGAUUUAUUUGAUUAAACUAGGAUAAUUUGCCCCCAAUACUGAGGUGGGUGCAAUCUAAUCGCUGGGCCUGCAGAAGUGGCUAAGGACUCAGUUCCUGAUUUUUCACCUUCAUUGUCCCUUUAAGUGUUACACCUGUUUGUGUGAUAAUAUGUGAGAUCAGUGCUCUGUAGAUUCACCUGCGUCUGGGCCACCUGUAUUUAAGUGAAGAUGAUCAACGUAUGACUUAACAUCAACUAAGGCUGGUUCCCGCUUGAGAGGUCUAUUGAAUUAUUUCCUGACUUUUGAACACAGAGCAAUCAGUAUUUUAAUUUUCUGGUGCUAGAUGAAUUUUCUGGUGCUAAUUUUCAGGCAUUUCCUUUGAUUCAUUCAAAAAGCUCACACAAAUCCGCAUAGAAUGGUGUCGUAAGACUGAAUUUAUCCUUCUUGGCCUUCUGAAGAACAAGUUUUUGUACCAUCCAAACAGUUGUCACCGUGGACACAGUUGUCAAUGUUAAUAUGCAGUGGCUACCUAGAGAACAGAGUCCACAGCACUUUCCAGUGGAAUUUAGCAUUCUGAAGUGCUAAUGAAGAGAUUGGUAUUUGUGUUAUUCAUCAAAAAUCAAAAUCAGUUUUUUACGAUUUUGGAUCAAAAAUUUGGAUCAAGAUUUUGAUAUGAAACCAGGUAUCUUCAAAGGCUAAUAUUUAAGACAUGAAACAUUCUAUGAUCUUUUAUAUGGCAAAAUUAUUUUUGCCAAGUAUCUGAAAAGGAAUCUAAGUACCCUGCUGUGUGACUGAGUGACUCUCUAAUAAUUAGUUCUAAUAAUUAGUAGCUGUGUAAUAGAUAAUAGGAGCCCCAAACUGAAAGAUUCAAAAAGAGCAUAUCUUAGUACUUCAUGUUAUCACAGCCUGGGUAGACAAUUUAAAUAUUAUGAAAUAUAGUUGGCAGUAUCUUACAGUUAAAAAAGAUAAACACUUUGAAAAAGAUAAACCCUUUGGGAAGUUCCCAUUGCAGCUCCGCGGGUGAAAAACCUGAUCAGUGUCCAUGAGGAUGUGAAUUCAAGCCCUGGCCUCACUCAUUGGGUUAAGGAUCCAGCAUUUCAGUGAGCUGCCGCGUAGGUCGCAGAUGCAGCUUAGAUCCCUCAUUGCUGUGGCUGUGGCUUAGUCUGGCAGUUGCAGUUCUGCUUCUCCCCCUAGCCUGGGAACUUCCGUAUCACUGACAGCAUUAAGAAGACUUAGUUUACCAUUUCCAAGGUUACAAAAGGAAAAUCCAUAUAGGGUGAAUAUUUAUGAGAUUCCUGGUCCAAUCUAGUGGAGAAGAAGGUAGCUCCUUAAAUAAUGUAGCCAGUUAUUCUCUGACUUAAUAUUCUGAUUUUAAGACAGGUGCAUGGCAGAAACUAGGGACAAAGGCACAUGUUAGCCAUCACAUGGAAUAAGGCAUAUUAAACCCUAAAAUCAUUAAUCUAGAAAUUAAAUUUCCCUUAGAAGUCAAUCAACUAGUUAAAAAAAAAGUCAAUCAUCUGAUUUAUACCUCACUUUGGCAUAUGGCUUUAUUUUAGUCAGACAUAUGAUAUAUUCUUUGUUUUCAUUUUCACUCCUAAGAAAAUAUGUUUUACAAGCAAAAACAAUUGUUUUUUAUUAAAAUAUAACUGACUUACAAUCUUAUAUUAGUUUCAGGUGUACUACGUAGGGAGUUGGUGUUUUAAACAUUAUAAAAUCAUCACCAGCAUCAGUCUAGUUACCGCCCGUCACCAUACAGCUAUUACAAUCUUAUUGCCUGUAGCCCCUGUGUUGUUCAUUCCAUCCCCAUGAGUUAUUUUAUAACUGGAAGUUUGUACCUCUCAAUCUCUCGUCUGUUUUUAAGGAGAAAAAUCCAGCUCAAUGACAAUACCUAAACAUCCAGUCUCGUAUGGGCCAGGCAAUGCUUCCCUCGUAUAUAUUUGUUGAAUAAAUAGAAGAAAAUGAGGCAGCCUCAGAGAUGCCUAACAUCAGUAUCACGGAACUAAUUCGUUGUAAACAUAUAAAGUCUAAAUUCUAUUCCUUAUGAAGAAGUUACGAUCACAGGAAUGCUGAGUAUCUUGUCCAAGAAUCUCUGCUGUUUUCAGAAGUUGCACAGUGGAGCUGUGCUGUGGAACAGAGAGAGGUGGUCUCCGGAUUUGUUAUGGCUAAUCAGGGAAACCUCGAAGGACCUAUUCAGAGGACCUCAUAACAAGGUCAGCUGGACAAAAAGCCCUUCCUAAAAUCACAAUGGUCUUAAAAUCAGUUAGCAAACAAACAGAAGCCUUCAAACAAUAUUAAUAUGGCCUAAAGGUUCAAUUUGAUGGAACUGUCUAAGAAGAAAUCAUCCUUGUCAGACGAAGAUACUUCUAUUCCCUUUGAGACUCUCUUGAUUAAAACAAAUUUUAUUUCAUUUGAUAAUAUCUAAUUUUAGUAAUUAAUGAAUCUGACGCUUGGGACCAUUUCUUCUAUCGGACUUAAACAGAGUAAGCUAAUAAGUAAUUAGUUCAUCCAAGAGCCUUGUAAGGUGUAAUCCCCGGGUUCCUUCCAGAUUCUCUUUGUUCUGCGUGUAUCACUAAUUGUUUUAAGUGAUUUUUAAUUUUGUGAAACAUUUCCCAAUUAAAGUUAGAUAAGUAAAUACAAGGAUGUACUUUGUUUAAUAUUAUGUUUCUUGUCAGUGGAAGGAUAGGCUUUAAAUUCUUCUGAAGACAGCAUUUUUCUAAUCAACACAUUGUAUAAUUCUAGUUUGGGGAAAGAGAAUUUCCCAUUUAUUUUAUGACUUUGAAUUUUAUUUUCCAAAUGGCUUCCCUGUAAAUCCAGUUCAUGACUCAGCUCUUCAGUGAUGGGGUGAGUAGAAAGCCCUCUCUUUCCUUCUUCCUUUGCCGAUCCCCUAUCACCUCCCCACUUAUAUAGGGAUCUUACACAAUGAAUUAAUGCUUCUCUCUCCUUUCUCUUUAACCUCUUCCUCAUCAUUUGAUUCUUCCAACUUCCUAAUUGCCGGGCAUACUGCAAAAUAAAAAUGAGAGUUCCUCCUUCAAGAUGGGGAUGUAGAAAAAAUGUGGUGAAAGUAUUAAAAGAUGUAAAGCUUUUUCCCAUCUUCCAGUCUUGACCACUCAUGCUGCUUGCUCUUUAAUGUUGUUUCAAGC